rnacentral:rRNA from 1 species
UACGGAAUGUGCAAGCGUUAUUCGGAAUCACUGGGCUUAAAGAGUCCGUAGGCGGCAUGUUAGGUGAGGUGUGAAAUCCCCCGGCUCAACCGAGGAAUUGCGCUUCAAACCGGCGUGCUUGAGGAAGAUAGAGGUGGGCGGAACUGAUGGUGGAGCGGUGAAAUGCGUUGAUAUCAUCAGGAACACCGGAGGCGAAGGCGGCCCACUGGGUCUUUUCUGACGCUGAGGGACGAAAGCUAGGGGAGCGAACGGG